GGACCCGCACAAGUAGUGGAGCAUGUGGUUUAAUUCGAAGAUACGCGCAGAACCUUACCAACACUUGACAUGUUCGUCGCGACUCUAAGAGAUUAGAGUUUUCGGUUCGGCCGGACGAAACACAGGUGCUGCAUGGCUGUCGUCAGCUCGUGUCGUGAGAUGUUGGGUUAAGUCCCGCAACGAGCGCAACCCUCACUUUUAGUUGCCAUCAUUUAGUUGGGCACUCUGAAAGAACUGCCAGUGAUAAGCUGGAGGAAGGUGGGGAUGACGUCAAGUCCUCAUGGCCCUUACGUGUUGGGCUACACACGUGCUACAAUGGUAUUUACAACAGGAAGCAAGACUGCGAAGUUAAGCAAAUCCUUAAAAAAUACCUCAGUUCGGAUUGCACUCUGCAACUCGAGUGCAUGAAGCUGGAAUUACUAGUAAUCGU
rnacentral:rRNA from 1 species